GAAACAGCAAGAGCAGCAGCAAUUGGCAAACAGGAAACAUCCCAGAAGAGCCCAUGGAGAAAGUUUGCAUGCAUCUCAGAAGUCUGGAGGAACGCUGGCUUCGCCUGAAUCUGACCACCUUCGUGAAGGCCAUCAGGAAUUUCUGAGUGUUCCUGGAAGCGAUGGAGAAGCUCACGCUCUUCAGCAGCAAUUAAAAGAAAAAACUGAUAUUAUCUCUUCCAUGANUUUGGAGAUCCAGAUUUUGAAGGAGAAGAAUGAGAACCUAAUGAAAGCUAAACUGAGGUUCCAGCAGCAAAUUCAAGAGAUCCGCAGACUUUCAACACAGCGACCUGGAAAAAGCAAUGCAGAGCUUCUGGUUCCUAAGCUCUCCAUGAACUGGGGACAGGAUUUGCAAAGGGCCGACAGCAGUGAAGCCUCUGCAUCUNUGCCCCAAAGUGGUGAACCCAUGAGCAGUGAAAACCUUCCUGUGGCCGCCCAGGGAGCCCAGCUUUGCUCCAGGGCUGAAAUUAAGCCCAGUUGCACCUCUUUGGAUACCAGCACUGUGCCUCCNACAUCAGCAAGGCCUGGAGCUCACAGAACCUCCCCCUCCACUGUGCCUCUUGAGUCAGACCCAGAACUCUGCAACACUGCUGCACCUCCCAUCAGGUUGGACACUGCAACCUCCUUGUCGGAGGGGAGGUGGCAGGCUGAGAGUGAAGGAGCCACAUGCAGUCCUCAGGGCUCGAUUCUUCUGUCGCCAAGGCCCUUUGGACCCCAAAGACCAUGGUCUCCCUUUAAAUUCAAAGGGAACCUUGAAGCAUCAGAAAACUGAGAAUCAGUGUCACUCUAGGAAAAAACCUCAUGCACAAUGGUUCUCUAAAAGGUUCAGCUGUGGGAUGGAGAAAGCACGUGUUCAGUUUCCCCCGUCAGCGCUGAGCAUGGACACCUGAACCAGCUGGCGAAACCCACAAUGUCAAAUGUGUUCCAC
rnacentral:lncRNA from 1 species